rnacentral:rRNA from 1 species
AGAGUUUGAUCCUGGCUCAGGAUGAACGCUGACAGAAUGCUUAACACAUGCAAGUCAACUUGAACUUCGGUUUGGGUGGCGGACGGGUGAGUAACGCGUAAAGAACUUGCCUCACAGUUAGGGACAACAUUUGGAAACGAAUGCUAAUACCUGAUAUUAUGAUUUUAGGGCAUCCUAAGAUUAUGAAAGCUAUAUGCGCUGUGAGAGAGCUUUGCGUCCCAUUAGCUAGUUGGAGAGGUAACGGCUCACCAAGGCGAUGAUGGGUAGCCGGCCUGAGAGGGUGAACGGCCACAAGGGGACUGAGACACGGCCCUUACUCCUACGGGAGGCAGCAGUGGGGAAUAUUGGACAAUGGACCAAGAGUCUGAUCCAGCAAUUCUGUGUGCACGAUGAAGUUUUUCGGAAUGUAAAGUGCUUUCAGUUGGGAAGAAAAAAAUGACGGUACCAACAGAAGAAGUGACGGCUAAAUACGUGCCAGCAGCCGCGGUAAUACGUAUGUCACAAGCGUUAUCCGGAUUUAUUGGGCGUAAAGCGCGUCUAGGUGGUUAUGUAAGUCUGAUGUGAAAAUGCAGGGCUCAACUCUGUAUUGCGUUGGAAACUGUGUAACUAGAGUACUGGAGAGGUAAGCGGAACUACAAGUGUAGAGGUGAAAUUCGUAGAUAUUUGUAGGAAUGCCGAUGGGGAAGCCAGCUUACUGGACAGAUACUGACGCUGAAGCGCGAAAGCGUGGGUAGCAAACAGGAUUAGAUACCCUGGUAGUCCACGCCGUAAACGAUGAUUACUAGGUGUUGGGGGUCGAACCUCAGCGCCCAAGCAAACGCGAUAAGUAAUCCGCCUGGGGAGUACGUACGCAAGUAUGAAACUCAAAGGAAUUGACGGGGACCCGCACAAGCGGUGGAGCAUGUGGUUUA